rnacentral:rRNA from 1 species
AUUGAACGCUGGCGGCAGGCUUAACACAUGCAAGUCGAGCGAGCGGCGGACGGGUGAGUAAUGUCUGGGAAACUGCCUGAUGGAGGGGGAUAACUACUGGAAACGGUAGCUAAUACCGCAUACCAUCAGAUGUGCCCAGAUGGGAUUAGCUUGUUGGUGGGGUAAUGGCUCACCUAGGCGACGAUCCCUAGCUGGUCUGAGAGGAUGACCAGCAAAACUGGAACUGAGAAACGGUACAGACUCCUACGGGAGGCAGCAGUGGGGAAUAUUGCACAAUGGGCGCAAGCCUGAUGCAGCCAUGCCGCGUGUGUGAAGAAGGCCUUCGGGUUGUAAAGCACUUUCAGCGGGGAGGCGUUACUCGCAGAAGAAGCACCGGCUAACUCCGUGCCAGCAGCCGCGGUAAUAC